CAAGAAAAACGAAAUGAAAUCGCUGUGUUGACCAUUAAGUGGCGUUGCCGGUAUGCUGUCGUUUAGCGCGGCUAUGGCUCGUCGGAUUGGGGGGCUUAACGGCGGGCACCCAGAGUGUAGAACCUUGACGGCAGCUUGUGACUAAGGCUUUUUCCCAAAACAUGAGGACGAACAAAGGAAUGUAGGUCGAUACCACAUUAAAUCGACGAUCUAAACAAUGCCUGGUAACCUAACCUUGAAUUGAGCUCAGUUCAAUGUCGCGUACCUGCAUACCAACACAAAGAAAAACCGCGGAAUUUAAUUAUGUAGCUUAGUCGUCCGUCUGUCUGUCCGGAGUUAAAUAAGUUUCAGUGUCAAUUGGGAAUGAUACCAAGCCACGCUGGAGCAGCAAUGGCGUAAACUCUGCGCCUCCCUCGAUGGAUUGGAUGGGCGAUGGUGUGGCUUGUAGGCUCCAAUUCUUCAUGAAUGUUUAGGUUUAAG